GUGGAUGGGGGGCGGUGACUCUGUCUCUUGCCUGUGUUCUCCUUUCUAGUGGCCAAAAGGUUGACCACGCUUGAUUACAUGACACAGGGCCGCCAACAGCAAAAGUCGACACACGAGACAGGGAAGAAGGGUGUGAGUUUACAAAUGGAGGACGUGUCACAGCCUCUGGACAGCUCCCUGGGAUCCUCCGAGCAGGGUCUAAGGACGCCUUCCUGACGCCCCAAGUUUCCCUGGAAGCUGAUCUAUCUGCUUCUGGACACUGGUCUGUCCAUCUGCUGUGUGUCCUACAGGACACUGUGCUGUUUAAGGACUGGACUUUACUUGCUGCUGUUCCCUCACUGAGUUAAGUCCGACUCUGCGACCCCAUGGACUGCAGUGCGCCAGGCUGCUCUGUCCUCCACUGUCU
rnacentral:lncRNA from 1 species